GUGGCUCAGGACGAACGCUGGCGGCGUGCCUAACACAUGCAAGUCGAGCGAGGAGAUUCCUUCGGGAUGAUCCUAGCGGCGGACGGGUGAGUAACACGUGGGCAACCUGCCUCAUAGAGAGGAAUAGCCUUCCGAAAGGGAGAUUAAUACCUCAUAACAUUGCAGUUUCGCAUGGAACAGCAAUUAAAGGAGUAAUCCGCUAUGAGAUGGGCCCGCGGCGCAUUAGCUAGUUGGUGAGGUAACGGCUCACCAAGGCGACGAUGCGUAGCCGACCUGAGAGGGUGAUCGGCCACAUUGGGACUGAGACACGGCCCAGACUCCUACGGGAGGCAGCAGUGGGGAAUAUUGCACAAUGGGGGAAACCCUGAUGCAAGCAACGCCGCGUGAGUGAUGACGGCCUUCGGGUUGUAAAGCUCUGUCUUCAGGGACGAUAAUGACGGUACCUGAGGAGGAAGCCACGGCUAACUACGUGCCAGCAGCCGC
rnacentral:rRNA from 1 species